rnacentral:rRNA from 1 species
CCUGCAGUAUCGGAUUAUUGGGCGUAAGGGCGUGUAGGCGGCUUCGCGUGUCUCAUGUGAAAGCCCUCGGCUCAACCGGGGAACUGCAUGGGAAACUGCGGAGCUUGAGUCCGGGAGAGGAGAGUGGAAUUCCCAGUGUAGCGGUGAAAUGCGUAGAUAUUGGGAGGAACACCAGUGGCGAAGGCGGCUCUCUGGACCGGUACUGACGCUGAGACGCGAAAGCCAGGGGAGCAAACGGGAUUAGAUACCCCGGUAGUCCUGGCUAUAAACGAUGAGCACUUGGUGUGGCGGGUAUCGACCCCUGCCGUGCCGAAGCUAACGCAUUAAGUGCUCCGCCUGGGGAGUACGGCCGCAAGGCUGAAACUCAAAGGAAUUGACGGGGGCCCGCACAAGCGGUGGAGCAUGUGGUUUAAUUCGACGCUACGCGAAGAACCUUACCUGGGCUUGACAUGUUAGUGGUAAGAGCCCGAAAGGGUAAUGACUUGGGGGUAACCCCUUGAGCUAACACAGGUGCUGCAUGGCUGUCGUCAGCUCGUGCCGUGAGGUGUUGGGUUAAGUCCCGCAACGAGCGCAACCCUUAUCCUCUGUUGGUUGGAAACAACCUCUCUGAGGAGACUGCCAGCGACAAGCUGGAGGAAGGUGGGGAUGACGUCAAGUCCUCAUGGCCCUUAUGUCCAGGGCGACACACGUGCUACAAUGGCCGCUACAGAGGGUUGCAAUACCGUAAGGUGGAGCCAAUCCCUAAAAGCGGUCUCAGUUGGGAUCGGAGUCUGCAACUCGACUCCGUGAACGCGGAAUCGCUAGUAAUCGUGGAUCAGCCAUGCCACGGUGAAUACGUUCCCGGGCCUUGUACACACCGCCCGUCACACCACGAAAGCCUGUUGUACCCGAAGCUGGUGAGCUAACCCGCAAGGGAGGCAGCCAUCUAAGGUAUGGCCGGUGAUUGGGGUGAAGUCGUAACAAGGUAAC